AUGCAAGUCGAACGGUAGUACAGAGCUUGCUCUGUAUGAGAGUGGCGAACGGGUGAGUAACACGUAGGUAAUCUACCUUUGGAUUGGGGAUAGCGCAUGGAAACAUGAGGUAAUACCGAAUAAAUCGUAUACCGUAGAGGUAAACGGGAAAGGCGCUUUGGCGCCGUCCGGGGAUGAGCCUGCGGCUUAUUAGUUAGUUGGUAGGGUAACGGCCUACCAAGGCGACGAUAAGUAGCCGGCCUGAGAGGGUGAACGGCCACACUGGGACUGAGACACGGCCCAGACGUCCUACGGGAGGCAGCAGCUAAGAAUCUUCCGCAAUGGACGCAAGUCUGACGGAGCGACGCCGCGUGGGUGAAGAAGGCCGAAAGGUUGUAAAGCCCUUUUCUUGCUGAAGAAUAAGGGCAGGAGGGAAUGCCUGUCCGAUGACGUUAGGUGAGGAAUAAGCCCCGGCCAAUUACGUGCCAGCAGCCGCGGUAACACGUAUGGGGCGAGCGUUGUUCGGAAUCAUUGGGCGUAAAGGGCGCGCAGGCGGUUACAUGAGCCUGGUGUGAACGGCUACGGCUCAGCUGUGGUCUCGCGCUGGGAAC
rnacentral:rRNA from 1 species